rnacentral:rRNA from 1 species
UACGUAGGGUGCGAGCGUUGUCCGGAAUUACUGGGCGUAAAGAGCUCGUAGGUGGUUUGUCGCGUUGUCCGUGAAAACUCACAGCUUAACUGUGGGCGUGCGGGCGAUACGGGCAGACUGGAGUACUGCAGGGGAGACUGGAAGUUCCUGGUGUAGCGGUGGAAUGACGCAGAUAUCAGGAGGAACACCGAUGGCGAAGGCAGGUCUCUGGGCCGUAACUGACGCUGAGGAGCGAAAGCAUGGGGGAGCGAACAGG